GAUGAACGCUGGCGGCGGGCCUAAUACAUGCAAGUCGAGCGAAGCGGGGACGGGUGAGUAACACGUGGGUAACCUCCUAUAAGACUGGGAAAACUUCGGGAAACCGGAGGAAAACGGGAAACUAACAGCAUGAUCUGAGCUGGAUUAGCUAGUUGGUAAGGUAACGGCUUACCAAGGCGACGAUGACUAGCCGACCUGAGAGGGUGACCUGCCACACUGGAACUGAGACACGGUCCAGACUCCUACGGGAGGCAGCAGUAGGGAAUCUUCCGCAAUGGGCGAAAGCCUGACAGAGCAACGCCGCGUGAGUGAUGAAGGUCUUCGGAUCGUAAAGCACUGUUAUUAGGGAAGCGGUACCUGCUCAGUAAGCCACGGCUAACUACGUGCCAGCAGCCGCGGUAAUAC
rnacentral:rRNA from 1 species